rnacentral:rRNA from 1 species
AUUGAACGCUGGCGGCAGGCUUAACACAUGCAAGUCGAACGCGUGGCGGACGGGUGAGUAAUGCUUGGGAAUCUAGCAUAUGGAGGGGGAUAACUACGGGAAACUGUAGCUAAUACCUCGUACAAUAGGAUGAGCCCAUGUGGGAUGCGGUAGUUGGUGAGGUAAAGGCUAACAAAGCCGACGAUCUCUCGCUGGUCUGAGAGGAUUACCGUCCAAACUGGAACUCGGACACGGCCCAGACUCCUACGGGAGGCACCAGUGGGGAAUAUUGCGCAAUGGGGGCAACCUGACGCGGCCAUGCCGCGUGAAUGAAGAAGGCCUUCGGGUUGUAAAGUUCUUUCGGUAGCGAGGCGUUAACUACAGAAGAAGCACCGGCUAACUCCGUGCCAGCAGCCGCGGUAAUUC